rnacentral:rRNA from 1 species
CGGCUGCAGUGGGGAAUAUUGGGCAAUGGAGGGAACUCUGACCCAGCGACGCCGCGUGCGGGAUGAAGGCCUUCGGGUUGUAAACCGCUUUCAGCAAGGAAGAAGCGAAAGUGACGGUACUUGCAGAAGAAGCACCGGCUAACUAUGUGCCAGCAGCCGCGGUAAUACAUAGGGUGCAAGCGUUGUCCGGAAUUAUUGGGCGUAAAGAGCUCGUAGGUGGUUCGUCACGUCGGAUGUGAAAAUCUGGGGCUUAACCCCAGACCUGCAUUCGAUACGGGCGAGCUAGAGUGUGGUAGGGGAGACUGGAAUUCCUGGUGUAGCGGUGGAAUGCGCAGAUAUCAGGAGGAACACCAAUGGCGAAGGCAGGUCUCUGGGCCAUUACUGACACUGAGGAGCGAAAGCGUGGGGAGCGAACAGGAUUAGAUACCCCAGUAGUC